UACGUAGGUGGCAAGCGUUGUCCGGAUUUAUUGGGCGUAAAGCGCGCGUAGGUGGCCUCGUAAGUCCGCUGUGAAAGUCAAAGGCUCAACCUUUGAAAGCCGGUGGAUACUGUGGGGCUAGAGUACGGAAGAGGCGAGUGGAAUUCCUGGUGUAGCGGUGGAAUGCGCAGAUAUCAGGAGGAACACCAAUAGCGAAGGCAGCUCGCUGGGACGUAACUGACACUGAGGCGCGAAGGCGUGGGGAGCGAACAGG
rnacentral:rRNA from 1 species